rnacentral:rRNA from 1 species
UACGUAGGGGGCAAGCGUUGUCCGGAAUCAUUGGGCGUAAAGAGCGCGUAGGCGGCCCUGUAAGUCCGCUGUGAAAGUCCAGGGCUCAACCCUGGGAUGCCGGUGGAUACUGUCGGGCUCGAGUCCGGAAGAGGCGAGUGGAAUUCCUGGUGUAGCGGUGAAAUGCGCAGAUAUCAGGAGGAACACCUAUAGCGAAGGCAGCUCGCUGGGACGGUACUGACGCUGAGGCGCGAAAGCGUGGGGAGCGAACAGG